ACACGUAGGGGGCGAGCGUUGUCCGGAAUUACUGGGCGUAAAGGGCGUGUAGGCGGUUUUGCAAGUCAGCUGUGAAACCCCCGGGCUCAACCCGGGGCUUGCAGUUGAGACUGCGAGGCUUGAGUGCAGGAGAGGAGAGUGGAAUUCCUAGUGUAGCGGUGAUAUGCGUAGAUAUUAGGAGGAACACCAGUGGCGAAGGCGGCUCUCUGGACUGCAACUGACGCUGAGGCGCGAAAGCGUGGGGAGCAAACAGGAUUAGAUACCCUGGUAGUCCACGCUGUAAACGAUGGGUACUAGGUGUAGGGGGUUUAGAUACCUUCUGUGCCGCAGCAAACGCAUUAAGUACCCCGCCUGGGGACUACGGCCGCAAGGUUGAA
rnacentral:rRNA from 1 species